UACGUAGGGGGCGAGCGUUGUCCGGAAUUACUGGGCGUAAAGAGCUCGUAGGUGGUUUGUCGCGUCGUCUGUGAAAGUUCCGGGGCUUAACUUCGGGAGUGCAGGCGAUACGGGCAAUACUUGAGUGCUGUAGGGGAGACUGGAAUUCCUGGUGUAGCGGUGAAAUGCGCAGAUAUCAGGAGGAACACCAAUGGCGAAGGCAGGUCUCUGGGCAGUUACUGACGCUGAGGAGCGAAAGCAUGGGUAGCGAACAGGAUUAGAUA
rnacentral:rRNA from 1 species